CAGCAGCCGCGGUAAUACAGAGGGUGCGAGCGUUAAUCGGAUUUACUGGGCGUAAAGCGUGCGUAGGCGGCUUCUUAAGUCGGAUGUGAAAUCCCUGAGCUUAACUUAGGUAUUGCAUUCGAUACUGGGAAGCUAGAGUAUGGGAGAGGAUGGUAGAAUUCCAGGUGUAGCGGUGAAAUGCGUAGAGAUCUGGAGGAAUACCGAUGGCGAAGGCAGCCAUCUGGCCUAAUACUGACGCUGAGGUACGAAAGCAUGGGGAGCAAACAGGAUUAGAUACCCCCGUAGUCCCUGUCUCUUAUAC
rnacentral:rRNA from 1 species